ACGCUCGACACCUACGGGAGGCUGCAGUGGGGAAUAUUGCACAAUGGGGGAAACCCUGAUGCAGCAACGCCGCGUGAAGGAAGACGGUUUUCGGAUUGUAAACUUCUGUUCUUAGUGAAGAUAGUGACGGUAGCUAAGGAGCAAGCCACGGCUAACUACGUGCCUGCAGCCGCGGUAAUCUGAGCGGGCUGGCAAGGC
rnacentral:rRNA from 1 species